rnacentral:rRNA from 1 species
UACGGAGGGGGCUAGCGUUGUUCGGAAUUACUGGGCGUAAAGCGCACGUAGGCGGCUUUACAAGUCAGAGGUGAAAAGCCCGGGGCUCAACUCCGGAACUGCCUUUGAGACUGUAAUCGCUUGAACACGGGAGAGGUGAGUGAAUUCCGAGUGUAGAGGUGAAAUUCGUAAGAUAUUCGGAGAACACCAGUGGCGAAAAGGCGGCUCACUGGGCCGUUGUUGACGCUGAGGUGCGGAAAAGCGUGGGGGAGCAAACAGG